CCUACGGGUGGCUGCAGUGGGGAAUAUUGCACAAUGGGCGCAAGCCUGAUGCAGCCAUGCCGCGUGUGUGAAGAAGGCCUUCGGGUUGUAAAGCACUUUCAGCGGGGAGGAAGGCGUUAAGGUUAAUAACCUUGUCGAUUGACGUUACCCGCAGAAGAAGCACCGGCUAACUCCGUGCCAGCAGCCGCGGUAAUACGGAGGGUGCAAGCGUUAAUCGGAAUUACUGGGCGUAAAGCGCACGCAGGCGGUCUGUCAAGUCGGAUGUGAAAUCCCCGGGCUCAACCUGGGAACUGCAUUCGAAACUGGCAGGCUAGAGUCUUGUAGAGGGGGGUAGAAUUCCAGGUGUAGCGGUGAAAUGCGUAGAGAUCGGGAGGAAUACCGGUGGCGAAGGCGGCCCCCGGACAAAGACUGACGCUCAGGUGCGAAAGCGUGGGGAGCAAACAGGAUUAGAUACCCGAGUAGUC
rnacentral:rRNA from 1 species